UGCCUUACACAUGCAAGUCGAACGGUAACAGGUUAAGCUGACGAGUGGCGAACGGGUGAGUAAUACAUCGGAACGUGCCCAGACGUGGGGGAUAGCUCGGCGAAAGCCGGAUUAAUACCGCAUAAGCUCUGAGGAGGAAAGCGGGGGACCGUAAGGCCUCGCGCGUUUGGAGCGGCCGAUGGCAGAUUAGGUAGUUGGUGGGGUAAAGGCUUACCAAGCCUACGAUCUGUAGCUGGUCUGAGAGGACGACCAGCCACACUGGGACUGAGACACGGCCCAGACUCCUACGGGAGGCAGCAGUGGGGAAUUUUGGACAAUGGGCGCAAGCCUGAUCCAGCAAUGCCGCGUGCAGGAAGAAGGCCUUCGGGUUGUAAACUGA
rnacentral:rRNA from 1 species